GCCCAAGAGAUCGGGAUAACACCUGGAAACAGAUGCUAAUACCGGAUAACAACAGAUGAUGCCUAUCAACUGUUUAAAAGAUGGUUCUGCUAUCACUCUUGGAUGGACCUGCGGUGCAUUAGCUAGUUGGUAGGGUAACGGCCUGCCAAGGCGAUGAUGCAUAGCCGAGUUGAGAGACUGAUCGGCCACAUUGGGACUGAGACACGGCCCAAACUCCUACGGGAGGCAGCAGGC
rnacentral:rRNA from 1 species